UCAGACACGUCAGAGUUUGAUCCUGGCUCAGGACGAACGCUGGCGGCGUGCCUAACACAUGCAAGUCGAGCGAAGGAUAUAUGAGGAAAUCUUCGGAUGGAAUCAUAUAAACUUAGCGGCGGACGGGUGAGUAACGCGUGAGGAACCUGCCUUGCACAAGGGGAUAGCCUCGGGAAACCGGGAUUAAUACCCUAUGAUACAAUAACAAGGCAUCUUGAGAUUGUUAAAGCUCCGGCGGUAAGAGAUGGGCUCGCGUCCCAUUAGCUAGUUGGUGAGGGUAACGGCCCACCAAGGCGACGAUGGGUAACCGGCCUGAGAGGGUGAACGGUCACAUUGGAACUGAGACACGGUCCAA
rnacentral:rRNA from 1 species